AGCACAAAGAAUACAUUUAUACUGAAGCGAAAACCUCUAAAAACUGUAUAAGGAAAAUAACAUAAAAAACCUAAGCCUAGCAACUGGCAUGGACAUUUCAAUUCAAAGAUGUUUCUUAUAAAACUUUGUGAAUAUCCCUAGCGCGCCUGGUUGUGGAUUUUUCUGUUAGCAUUUUGUCGGAAUUAAAAGAAAAAAUGAACUUUCAUUGCUGGUGGGUGGCAGUCAGUUUCCUACUACUCAAGAUAACGCUAGCCGAAGUUAUUUCACCGGCUGAGAACAACACAGCUUGUGGGAACAUAACUUGUUUCAACAACGGCAAAUGCAAAGACAAUAAAGCUUGCAUGUGUCAAAAAGGAUAUACGGGCAAGACAUGCAGCGAUGAUAUGGAUGAGUGCCAUAUGGGCGAUCCCUGCUUAUCACAGAGGGUAUUGUAACAACUCGAUUGGAAGCUACACAUGCGACUGCCUAGAUGGAUGGUUUGGCAUUGAACAUUGCGAAUAUAUGGAUAACUCCACAGAUAUCCAUCUUUGUACGCCACGGUGGAUGGGGGAGUGGUGUGCCGACUUAUGUCUGAACGACACAAUGUGUGGAAAAAAUAGAG
rnacentral:lncRNA from 1 species